rnacentral:rRNA from 1 species
GACAGAGGUCCCAAGCGUUAGGUGGAAUCACUGGGCUUAAAGCGUGUGUAGGCGGACUUCUAAGUACCUUGUGAAAUCCCACGGCUCAACCGUGGAACUGCUUGGUAUACUGGUUGUCUUGGGCCAUCUAGGGGCUAGCGGAACAAACGGUGGAGCGGUGAAAUGCGUAGAUAUCGUUUGGAACGCCAAUGGUGAAAACAGCUAGCUGGGGAUGUGCCGACGCUGAGACACGAAAGCCAGGGGAGCGAACGGG